rnacentral:rRNA from 1 species
GACGAACGCUGGCGGCGUGCUUAACACAUGCAAGUCGAACGGAAAGGCCCUGCUUUUGUGGGGUGCUCGAGUGGCGAACGGGUGAGUAACACGUGAGUAGCCUGCCCUUGACUUUGGGAUAACUUCAGGAAACUGGGGCUAAUACCGGAUAGGAGCUCCUGCUGCAUGGUGGGGGUUGGAAAGUUUCGGCGGUUGGGGAUGGACUCGCGGCUUAUCAGCUUGUUGGUGGGGUAGUGGCUUACCAAGGCUUUGACGGGUAGCCGGCCUGAGAGGGUGACCGGCCACAUUGGGACUGAGAUACGGCCCAGACUCCUACGGGAGGCAGCAGUGGGGAAUAUUGCACAAUGGGCGGAAGCCUGAUGCAGCAACGCCGCGUGCGGGAUGACGGCCUUCGGGUUGUAAACCGCUUUCGCCUGUGACGAAGCGUGAGUGACGGUAAUGGGUAAAGAAGCACCGGCUAACUGCGUG